GCCCGGGUGGCGGAAUUGGCAGACGCAAGGGACUUAAAAUCCCUCGGUCCCUUAGGACCGUGCCGGUUCGAGUCCGGCCCCGGGCA
rnacentral:tRNA from 1 species